GGGGGUAGCUCAGUGGUAGAGUGUGUGCUUGGUAUGUGUGAGGUCCUGGGUUCAAUCCCCAGUACCUCUG
rnacentral:tRNA from 1 species